GGUAACAAGGUCUCCGUUGGUGAACCAGCGGAGGGAU
rnacentral:rRNA from 1 species